UUGAACUUCGAUACGAACGCAGCCUAUUCACUGCACCGUCCAGCGUGGACGAGUGGAGGGGAAAAGGUUGCCAGAUCAACGCGGCAACAUCUCAUAAACUGUCUCGCGCGCCAUGCGAGACGGGCUACUAAGUUUCUGCGACAACU
rnacentral:snoRNA from 1 species